rnacentral:rRNA from 1 species
GCCCGCUCAGAAACUCGAAAGGAAUUGACGGGGCCCGCACAAGCGGUGGAGUAUGUGGUUUAAUUCGAUGCAACGCGAAGAACCUUACCUGGUCUUGACAUCCCGGAGACCCUUAGGAAACUAGGGGGUGCUUCCAUCUGGAAGAAUCUGGAGACAGGUGCUGCAUGGCUGUCGUCAGCUCGUGUCGUGAGAUGUUGGGUUAAGUCCCGCAACGAGCGCAACCCUUGCCUUUAGUUGCCAGCAGUUCGGCUGGGCACUCUAAAGGGACUGCCGGUGUUAAACCGGAGGAAGGUGGGGAUGACGUCAAGUCCUCAUGGCCUUUAUGACCAGGGCUACACACGUACUACAAUGGCCGAUACAAAGGGCAGCGACACUGCGAGGUGAAGCCAAUCCCGUAAAAUCGGUCUCAGUCCGGAUUGGAGUCUGCAACUCGACUCCAUGAAGUUGGAAUCGCUAGUAAUCGUGGAUCAGCAUGCCACGGUGAAUACGUUCCCGGGCCUU